ACACCAUAAUUCUUCCCCAAACGAAGCAUAAAACCCUUGCAAAAACCAGUGCAUCCACGAUAGGAUUUUUCUCUCUAAACUGCAAGACCCCUUUCGGAAACCCUAAACUCUCAACUCUCUACUUUUCCUCGAUCCAAGUUAUCUCAAUGGCUUCCACAUGCCUCAGAUCUCUGAAUCGCAGCUCCCUGUCUUCUCUACGAUCACACGUCUCCAAAGCAAACAUCGCCGGUCGGCGUCCGCCACCAACAAACUCCUCCACCGCUGGAUACGCCCGGACCGCUACUGGGGCAGACGCCGGAACCGCCUUCCAUUCACCCAUUCACCGAUUCCGUGCUCUCUCGCGACCUCCAGUGGAAUUGGGGUCCUGUGCUGGAUCCAUGUAUCCGCUGCACAGCGCAGUUGCAGCGGCGAGGCUGACGUCGAGGCUGAGCUUUACUUCUCGGAGCUGUCGAGAUAUCUCACAGGGCACAUGAAUUAUCGAGUGCUUGAAAUGAUAAAUUUGCCCUCAAGUUCCUGCCUUUUGCUCUCCAAAUUACCAAAGGUUGGUUUAUCGGUGCCAAGGUGACAGUUGCAGCUGAAGCAUUGGUUACAUGCUUUUGUUUUUUGGGUUUUUUAGUCAAGAGGAGCAUUUUGUACUGCUUUAGAAGCACAACUGCUCAUAUCUGCGGAGUAAAUUAUUUUCUCUUUGAUUUUUUUUUGGAUAAAGAACUGAUUCAUUCAGUGUUGCUUUAUCGUUAAUUCAACUUUGCUUAACUGCUGUAAUAAGAUUAUGAAGUUCUUCAGGCAUCCAAUAUAAAUUUUGCGAUCCAUCACAUAUAUUUUUUUUAA